UCUAGCGCCAAUUACCCCGGUUAGGUCCAACACCUAAUCCCCGAGGUACGAUAAUCAAGGUUUUAAUAUUUCCCUUACUUGACAACGAUUCGUACGCUUGCGAGAGUUUAUGAGCCAAGUCAAUGACCAAAUGGUUCGAUAUAUACCAACUACCAUUUCAUUGUCCCCGAGUUGGGUCCUGACGUCAAAUUCUUAUAUGCUUCUCAUAAGGCUCUUAAGGAAUACAAGGAGGCUAAAGUGUCCUAGUUCUUUUUGGUCCAGUGUCCUACUUGUUGCUGUCCAAAGUCCAAACCAGCAAAGGGUGUUGAAAAGACAUUUUCGCUAAAGGAAAGUACCUCUUUGCUAGAUUGGUUGAUGGAUCGAAGUAACAUUUGGGCUAAUGAUCUCUCUACUUCCCUAAGUACAUUGCAGGCUCUUGAAGGCAUUGUUGGCAAAGACCACCUUGUCGUCUCUACCUCCUGCUCUCUUCUUCAUACCCUGUUGAUCUUGUUAAUGAGACUAAGCUGACAAUGAAAUCAAAUCAUGGCUCCCUUUGCUGCCCAGAAAAUUGUUGAAGUUAAUGCUUUGGCAAAGGCAUUGGCUGGUCACAAGGAUGAGGUACUGUAUCAUUCUCUUCUGCUGCAGUGUGCCACUUGCAAAGCUUCACAACAAGCUUGGAGGUGAUGCAAAUUAGUAUAUAGUGCACAAGAUGGUUUGAAAUGGUGCAGUUAGGAUGCUUUCUUUGUUGGUUUUAUGGUCUAGAAACUUGAGUGUAUGGAUAAUUUACAUAUAUAUUGGAGCAUUGUUUCUA